rnacentral:lncRNA from 1 species
GUGGAGAAAGGAGUGAACUACGACCAGGGAAGAACUCAAGAAGAGAAUAAACAUACCGAUUACUUGCAUGGCCGGUUCCACGUCUGUUGUGGCCUCUUCCAGCAAGGACAGUAGCUUGGCUGAUAUUUGAUGCACAGAUUCAAUGUUGCUAAACAAGCCCUCCACGUCCAGCCUGUCAAUCUGAAGAAGCAGAGACACUGAGCUGAGCGACAGCUGACGGGAAGAGAACUACUAUGUGCUCGGUGCUUCUUCCUGCUCAACAGCAAGGAUUUAACCUGCCUCACCCUGCUCUGUGAAGAUGCUCACCUAGGGUUUCUGAAUGUAA